rnacentral:lncRNA from 1 species
CAAGAUAACCUGCCUCUAGAAAGCGUCUGAACCUCUUCCCCACAGUAGUGGAGUGAAUGUGGCCUUUGGAGCCCAGCAGAUUGAAAUCAAUCCAGGUUUCAGACAAAGGGUCCUGGGAAUAAAAGAUGCCGCAUUUUGUAAGAGAAACCCUAGAUGACCCUUAGAACAUCUAAAAGAAGUUAUGGACACUCUCUCCACCAAAAAGAAAAGAAAAAAGUCACCUGCACUGUAAAAGAGUACACAUUUUCAGAGGACUUGGGAAUUGGGGACCCACACUUAGCUUCCAAGAAGAGAACCUUUGGCACCAUCAACCUGUUUCCUGCAAGAGCUGUGCUGUGCACAUAGGACAGUAUAACAGCACAUGAAGUCAAGCAGAAUGUGACCUACAAUCGUUCUCUUCAACCUAAGUAUCUACUUCCUAGUCAAGGCCAGAAGCAGCAGGAAAUUUGGAAAGCCAGAGAUGUCAAAAAUGAGCAUCAACAACAAAAUUAAGAAAUCAAGACAACACCUAUUGUGGCAAAGAGUUUCAAGGAAAAGACCAAUUCCAGGAAGGAAGAAUCAGAGCCUUC